GUGAAUCAUCGAAUUUUUGAACGCAAAUUGCGCUUCCUAGCAUCCCGGGAAGUAUGCCUGUUUGAGGGACAGUAUUAACAAAAAAAUCGGUUUUGUUGCAAAUUGUGACGUUUCCGGAGUUUGAGCUAUCUUAACUUUUUUGGUUAAGGGGCUAAAAAUUUACCUUUUUUGCGCAUUUUUAGACGUACUUAAAUUUUUUUUUUUUCUUUUUUUCUUUUUUCCAAAAUUUUAUUAAAUCCUUUCAAUU
rnacentral:misc_RNA from 1 species